CUCAGAGCCAGCCGACUGUGGACUGAAACCUCUGCAAACUAUCCUGGUGUCAGACACUGUGUCCAGCAAUGGGGCAGGUAACUACUGAGGAAUCCGACCACCACUGUCCUGAUGGAGACCAUGCUAACCCUACAGCUGCACUCAGCACGUCAGCCCGCGCUAAGACAUACGCAGCUCGGUUCCCAGGGCUCAGCAGAAGGACGAGGGCUACCGGGAAGAGGGACUGGACUGGUCUGGAAGACACAUGAAGAAGAUGCCCGGAGCCAGCAGAGUGAGGACUGGCUCAGUCCUUGUGGGCAAGCGACAGGGACACGGAGGCAAGGAACGAGGGAGGGCCCUGCAGGAGGCCAGGCUCCAACUUCCACUUCCACAUCCUUCCCAAGUGGCCGUGAGCCCCAUGCAGGGAAGAACCAAGUGCUGCCCAGUGAGAGCCCUGGCUUUAGCUGGGCACGCGGGCUCUGCUCAGUCCCUGCACAGUCACACACCACCCACUGGACCUUAAAGUGUUUGUCAAGUGCAUCCUUCCUAUAGAAUAGCAGCACUUCCAGGCAGCUACAACUUGUACCAAAGGAGCGUGUGUGUGCUGCAUUCCUCCAGCAUCCACAAAACCUCAGGGGCACCCCCCCUCCCCAGUCACAACAACCCUUUCCGGCCCCAAAGGCAACUCCCUGGGCACUGUGCAGUGGCAACAGACAGACACAACUGGAGCCUUUUCCUCCGCAUAGCCUCAGUCAGGGAACAGGAAGGCAAACCUGCUUUUCCUUCUGCCCCUGGACCAGGGAACAGAGCUUUGGGAGCAGAACUCGAAAAUUUCACUCAUUUGCCAACUGGACAAAGGAGCCCAGUUAGGAAUUUGUCUCAACACCAAAGGCAUCACUUUGCACCAUGAGUGUGAGUGUGUGUGUGAUUCCACUGAUUUUGUUUUUCUUGUUUCA